GUGCUCAUGUUGGCAGCACAUACACUAACACUGGAAAGGAUACAGAGAAGAUUAGCACGGCCCCUGUGCAAGUACAACGUGCAAAUUCGUGAAGUGUUCCAUAUUUUU
rnacentral:snRNA from 1 species